rnacentral:rRNA from 2 species
UGGGGAAUAUUGUGCAAUGGGGGAAACCCUGACACAGCGACGCCGCGUGAGCGAAGAAGGCCUUCGGGUCGUAAAGCUCAAUAGUAUGGGAAGAAAUAAAUGACGGUACCAUACGAAAGCCCCGGCUAACUACGUGCCAGCAGCCGCGGUAAUACGUAGGGGGCGAGCGUUGUCCGGAAUUACUGGGCGUAAAGAGCACGUAGGCGGCUAUAAAAGUCAGAUGUGAAAAACCUGGGCUCAACCGAGGGUAUGCAUCUGAAACUAAAUAGCUUGAGUCAAGGAGAGGAGAGCGGAAUUCCUGGUGUAGCGGUGAAAUGCGUAGAGAUCAGGAAGAAUACCAGUGGCGAAAGCGGCUCUCUGGACUUGAACUGACGCUGAGGUGCGAAAGCGUGGGGAGCAAACAGG